GGGUGCGAUCAUACCAGCACUAAUGCACGGGAUCCCAUCAGAACUCCGAAGUUAAACGUGCUUGGGCGAGAGUAUUACAAAGAUGGGUGUCCUCUUGGGAAGUCCUCGUGUUGCACCAC
rnacentral:rRNA from 1 species